UGCUGUGAGCUCGAUGAGUAGGGCGGGACACGUGGUAUCCUGUCUGAAUAUGGGGGGACCAUCCUCCAAGGCUAAAUACUCCUGACUGACCGAUAGUGAACCAGUACCGUGAGGGAAAGGCGAAAAGAACCCCGGCGAGGGGAGUGAAAAAGAACCUGAAACCGUGUACGUACAAGCAGUGGGAGCACCCUUUGGGGUGUGACUGCGUACCUUUUGUAUAAUGGGUCAGCGACUUAUAUUCUGUAGCAAGGUUAACCGAAUAGGGGAGCCGGAGGGAAACCGAGUCUUAAUUGGGCGUUAAGUUGCAGGGUAUAGACCCGAAACCCGGUGAUCUAGCCAUGGGCAGGUUGAAGGUUGGGUAACACUAACUGGAGGACCGAACCGACUAAUGUUGAAAAAUUAGCGGAUGACCUGUGGCUGGGGGUGAAAGGCCAAUCAAACCGGGAGAUAGCUGGUUCUCCCCGAAAGCUAUUUAGGUAGCGCCUCGUGAAUUCAUCUCCGGGGGUAGAGCACUGUUUCGGCUAGGGGGCCAUCCCGGCUUACCAACCCGAUGCAAACUGCGAAUACCGGAGAAUGUUAUCACGGGAGACACACGGCGGGUGCUAACGUCCGUCGUGAAGAGGGAAACAACCCAGACCGCCAGCUAAGGUCCCAAAGUCAUGGUUAAGUGGGAAACGAUGUGGGAAGGCCCAGACAGCCAGGAUGUUGGCUUAGAAGCAGCCAUCAUUUAAAGAAAGCGUAAUAGCUCACUGGUCGAGUCGGCCUGCGCGGAAGAUGUAACGGGGCUAAACCAUG
rnacentral:rRNA from 2 species